rnacentral:lncRNA from 1 species
GCCAACUGUUGAAGAUUUUCUGAGGAACUGAAGCAGUGCUUGGGAAGCAAGCCACUGAAUAUCCUUGACCACGAGGAAAACGGAUCAGAGACUGAAACAUGAGUUUCUUGUCUUAAAAAGUUGCAGCUGCCUGUUAAACUGAUUGUGGCUGUGCACAGGUAUGUCUGAAAGGAUGAAUCUAAAUUCUUGUCCUCUAUCAGCCUAAAGCCAGCACAUGGCUAUGAUGACUGAUGUAUGUGCUUCUGCAUGUUUACUGGAUGGAAUAGAGAAUGGCCCAGCACAAGACAACGUGGUGGCAAGAGAAGAGAGAAGGGUGAAUUGGACAGGCAGAUUACAGUCAAGCUCUCUGAUAACAAAACUUAUCAGUGUCCACAGGAGAUUGGGGCUUCCUCUACUAUAACCUGUUUUCUCUCCCUUGAGAAAUGGAGGGGAAGGUGGUGUUUCUUCAUUUUUGGUAAGCUUCACAGAGAAAAUAGAGGCAAAAAGUGGCCAGUGGGCCUUAAGGCAUUCAGUUAAGGUGAGGAAUAUGGGGGUUAAUAAUGCUGAGAAGAGUUGACAUCUUCUUAGAAAUACUAGUACUUUUUGGAAAAAUGCUGGGCUUCCUGCAGCUAUAAAUAUAGGCUUCGUAUUUUU